AAAGAUACCAGGGGUACAGGAGCACAGAGGAAAGCCACGUGAUGACAUAGUGAGAAGAUGGCCACUUGCAAGCCAAGUGGGGAGGCCUCAGAGGAAAUCAACUCUGCCGACACCUUGAUAUUGGACUUAUAGCCUCCAGAACGCCAAGAUUCUCAGCGUGGAAGAAAGGAGGUGCAUAUGUAACAGAGCAAAGGUGAAGGAAAAGUUCUGCAGGCUCACGUUUGAACUAAACAGCUGAUUCCAGGUCUGGAACAGGAAAGCUAAGACGGGCAUGGAACAUCUUGUUUCACACCCAGAGCCAGUUACCAGGAAGUUAUCAAAUCCUACCUGGGGAUGACAAAAGGACUCAAGAACCGAAUUAAAGAGGCUCCCACUGGCUAAAGGCUCAGAGAGUUGAAGUGACUGGCCCCGACUACACAGCCAGGAGCUCCCAAGCCAAGCUGACUGUUUCUGUAGCCCACAUACAGUCUCAAGGAUUAAAUCAAGAAAUGAGAGAAGAUGAAAUGUACCUCCAGAUGUCUCCGAAGAAGGGAAUAAAUGGGCAUAUCAUCAACAGGCAGCGAGCCUAAGACGGUGGGAAGUUCAGAAAACUCCCAAAUAUUUCAGCUGGUUUGCUCAGCUUCAUUCGAACAGAAAAAAGGAGGAAUGGAAUUCUUCAAUCAGAUACCUUAAUCCUGUCUUCAGGGAGGGCAGAACACCGUGCUGGAGAUGAGAGGGGCUUUUUUUUAAUGUGUUGAAAAUUCUUGAAAAGGUGAAACACAAGGUUUGCUCAGGGAAAUGGGUACGUGAAUCAGGCAGAGAUUAUCUUUCAGGUUUUUGAUAAACUUUCCCUAUCUGGAGAUUCAUUAUUGGAAGGUGAGAGGAGUGGCAAUUAGUUAAUGUAGUAAUGAGACAAAAAGUUGGCAAAAAUGAAACAAAUAUACAAAUGAUUAUUAAUUUGAAUAUUUCAUCUAGAAAUGUAUAGAUGUGGAACUUUAAUUUGAUAAUUGACGCUAAAUAUAGAAUUUAAAAGAUGAUUUCUGUCCUUAAUAUUAAUCAUUUAGGGGAAAUGGUUAAAAUGGGGAAUUGACGUACUUUCAUAAAUGGGAUUCAAAACCAAUAAUGACAAACUUGUUGUUAACGAGUAUUCAGCUGGAGAAUAAUGAUGAAAAUAAUUUAAAGGUUUUACAGAUGCUGACAUUUUUAGAGGUAUUCAAAGUCUUUACUUUUGUAAGAAGAAUUUAUUUUACCACCCAAGAAAGAAAAUGCUCUAGGUAUCUUAGACAAAGUUAAAUAAUAUACAAAUUUGCAAGAUUCGUGUGGAAGGUUGUAGGCCACUGGUUCUCAAUACCGGCUGCACGUUAGACUCACCUGGACAGUUUAAAAAAUAUCUAUUCUGGGUGCCUACCCCAAACUAAUUAAGCCAGAACCUCUGGGAAUGGGGUUUAGGCAUCAGUAUUUUUUAAAAUCUGCCCCAGAUGAUUCUAUUGUGGUGCCAGGGUUGAGGGUCACUGACUUAGUGAAGAGGAAGUUUACAAAGUUAAUGAGAGUAAGAACCAUGCAUGGUUUGUUCAACACCAGUGCCUGGGACAUAAUAGAUACGCAGUGAAGACUUGCUGAAUGAAUUGAGUAGUUUAGCAAUCCCGUGGCAUAUCUAUAAUUAGAAAAGCCUACCGAUGCUUUUUAACCCAUAAUGUCUUUCUUAAAAUUGCCUGUGUUAAGUGAUAACUUAUUUUUAGUCCUCCUGGAGCAUGUAUUCAAAUAAUAUUUUCUAAUUCAUAACCUAAAGAAAUGACAGGUCCUUUGAAAUGAGGCUGAAUUUGAAUAUGCUCAUUUCUUGUCACCCAAGGGAACCAGCUAUCUGUCUUGCCAUCAUUAUAAACAGUCCCUAAGCACCUCAUACAAGGUGGGACAAUACUGAGAUUCUGGUGCAAGGAGCCAUGCUCUCACACAUUUUUGAUGGUGACCCUUUGUAAGACAUAUUCUACAUCAGAACCAGUAUAUCUAUACAUUUAAAUCUGAACAAAAAUAGUACCUUUAGUAUGUGAGAUAAUUGCUGAUAUUUUCUAUUCUAUUUUAUUCAUUAAAAAUGUUUAUAAAAACUUAGCUUCCUGACUCACUAGGGGAUCUUCACCCACACUGUGGAAAGCACUGCACGAACUGGACAGUGCAAAUAGCAUGGCCAAGGCAAUGCCUUCCUUGCUGUGGAAGAGAAAAUGGAUUCUCAGUGAUUGUAACUGACUCAUAAUAACCUGAUUCAUUGCACUUGCCAGAAAUGUACAUUUCAUUGUUUAUUGUCUAUUUCUUGCUACAUGAAUGUAUGCCUCAUGAGGGCAGAACUCCCAUCUGCCUGUACAUCAUUGUGUACAGUGUCUGGCUCAUAUUAAACACUCAAUAAAUGCUCAUUAAAUUGAUGAACACAGAAAUGAAUAAAUCCCUACUACUACAAUGGUUUCCCAGACACAAUACAAUUACAUGAAAUUUUCAAUUAUUUUCCAACCUGCUUUCAUUUCCAAAGUCCUACUUGUGCAAUUUUCAUCCUCUUG
ensembl:lncRNA